CUACGGGAGGCAGCAGUGGGGAAUAUUGCACAAUGGGCGCAAGCCUGAUGCAGCCAUGCCGCGUGUAUGAAGAAGGCCUUCGGGUUGUAAAGUACUUUCAGCGGGGAGGAAGGGAGUAAAGUUAAUACCUUUGCUCAUUGACGUUACCCGCAGAAGAAGCACCGGCUAACUCCGUGCCAGCAGCCGCGGUAAUACGGAGGGUGCAAGCGUUAAUCGGAAUGACUGGGCGUAAAGCGCACGCAGGCGGUUUGUUAAGUCAGAUGUGAAAUCCCCGGGCUCAACCUGGGAACUGCAUCUGAUACUGGCAAGCUUGAGUCUCGUAGAGGGGGGUAGAAUUCCAGGUGUAGCGGUGAAAUGCGUAGAGAUCUGGAGGAAUACUGGUGGCGAAGGCGGCCCCCUGGACGAAGACUGACGCUCAGGUGCGAAAGCGUGGGGAGCAAACAGGAUUAGAUACCCCAGUAGUC
rnacentral:rRNA from 1 species